GACGAACGCUGGCGGCGUGCUUAACACAUGCAAGUCGAACGGAAAGGCCCUGCUUUUGUGGGGUGCUCGAGUGGCGAACGGGUGAGUAACACGUGAGUAACCUGCCCUUGACUUUGAGAUAACUUCAGGAAACUGGGGCUAAUACCGGAUAGGAGCUCCUGCUGCAUGGUGGGGGUUGGAAAGUUUCGGCGGUUGGGGAUGGACUCGCGGCUUAUCAGCUUGUUGGUGGGGUAGUGGCUUACCAAGGCUUUGACGGGUAGCCGGCCUGAGAGGGUGACCGGCCACAUUGGGCCUGAGAUACGGCCCAGACUCCUACGGGAGGCAGCAGUGGGGAACCUUGCACAAUGGGCGGACGCCUGAUGCAGCAACGCCGCGUUCGUGAUGACGGCCUUCGGGUUGUAAACCGCUUUCGCCUGUGACGAAGCGUGAGUGACGGUAAUGGGUAAAGAAGCACCGGCUAACUACGUG
rnacentral:rRNA from 1 species